AUUAAUCUGACAUAAUUAUCAUUCCAUCAUAAACGACUAAGUCACAUUUCAUAACUUAGAAUCAAAAUAAUACUACACAUUGCCAUCUCAUACUGGCAUACCAAACAACUGUAUAUACAUUGUCUACAACAUGUAUCUUAACAAUUUACAUUAGGUUCGUCUAUACACAACAAAAUAAUACUCGACUUCCAACGGAGGGACUCGGAUGAAUGUACAACUACUGAAUGCUGAGACACCGACCAAAAGAUGGAUACAAGUCUACGAGGACACCUCGUCCUAGUUACUUGCUGCCUCGUGAUCUGAAAACAUGAAGUUGAAAACAGUGAGUAUAAACCUAGUGAGUGAACAAGAAAGGGAACAAGCAUACCAUAAGGAAUGUUUAACGAAAUCAUGAUGCAUUCUUUUUCAAAACAAUGCAAUUUGUUUUUGAACUUAUUAAACCCCUCAUGUAAACCCCACAUGAGAAAAAUCACUUAUUGGAAGAAGUCCAUGCUCAACAAAGGAUUUGGAAAGUGAAAACUUUAAUAGCAUUCAUGCGAAUCAAGUCAAUAAACGAUGAGUCCUCGCUGCAGCGGGAAAGGCAUUCUCGCUGCAGCGACACUUGAUUUAAUUAUCAACUAACCGAGGGUUUCUUGACUAGCUGAGGGUUUCUCACCAAACCUCCUCAUAUUAAGCUUAAUUCACUCAUUCCUUAAUGUUGGAAAUCUAUGCUAAAAUAUGGUAGCAAAUGAGUGGAAAAUAGGGCAACAAUUGAUCAAAAUAAGAUGAAAAAUAGAGAGUUUUUCGCUGCAGCGAGAUUUUGGUCAUAAAACAGAAAGUUUUUCGUUGCAGCGAGAAGCUACUGUACCUUCCUCGCUGCAGCGAAAAUGGAUUCUCGCUGUAGUGAGUUUUCGGCCAACCUACCUUUUCCAAACCAGAGAGUUUCUCGCUGCAAUGAGAACGAAUCUCGCUACAGCGAGAAUCAAAACAUAAAGAAAAAAGGUUCCCUUUUCCCUUAAAACAAGAUCAUCCUGCUAAAUAACAAAAGCAACAUGUAACACAUGCAAACUCCUAAAUUUCAACAAAGUCAAAUGCUCACAUUUUUGCAUUUACAACCAUAUACCAUAUAUGUAUAUAUAUAUAGAUAUCAAUCAUCAUAUGCACCCUCCCAUCAUCAUCAUCUCAUAUGCAACGACUUAUGUGCACUCCCACUCCCACAUAGCCGGGUCAGCAAUGGCUUAUGUGCACUCCUACUCGCACAUAGCCGGGUCCACAUCAACAUACAAAGAAGCACCCAAUGCAUAUCAUGCAUACUAUCAUAUUUUGAUAACACAUAGCACAUUGUAUAGCACAUUUCCACAAUAUAAAAUCACUUCACCAAAGGCUUGUUCCCAAGGCACAUUUUCAAAGUCAAGUUAGAUAAAAUCAUUCACAUUUCUCAAAAAAAGUUUGAAAUGCAAGUUCACUCACCGGUAUAUUGUUGAGCCUUUAGAUGACUCCAAUUCCCCUAAUUGUCCAAAUGGGAUGAUGGAGCUUCCUUGAAACCUACCAUCACAUUAACAUCACCAUUAUGUUAAUUCAUAUACUAUAAACCCUAAAAGCUAUCUCUUAGCUAGCCUUCAAUUGCCACUUUAAAUGGCUAUCUAUAUUCACUAUCUAAAUCACUAUAAAAUGAAUGAACAUCCUCAACAAUAAAAUAGCUCAUAAUCUAAAUUACUAGCCAUUAUCCACAGCUAAAAACCAAGCUUAGUGCAUCACUCACCCUAGGGUUCCUUUGUAGUUGAAUUCUCUUCCAAUAGCUUCCACACAAAUGGGGUAAUUCUCUCUUUCUCUCUCUAAAACGCCCAAUUAGUGAGAGAAAGUAUGAAAAUAAGAUUUUUCAAGGGUUUUAAGGAGAGAGAGUGGAAGAAUACAAAGGUUCUAGUCAAAAGGGCUCAAAGGUAUGAAAAUUUAGAGCUAGAGAGAGAAAAUUAUACAAGCUCUACAUCAAGCUUCCAUGGAGGUUGGAAGCAACGUGAAAGAGAAGAAGAAGAAGAAGACAAG
rnacentral:lncRNA from 1 species